rnacentral:lncRNA from 1 species
CAAUGCUUAAAUAUGGAGAGAGAUAAUUCGUAGGAGGAUAUUCUCAUAGGUUACAAUUCAAAUAUAGAAGGAAUUAUGCCAGCUUGAUGGUCAACUGAAGUUAUUGUAGGAGAGCUCAAGAUGGAAGGAAAAUCUAAUCAAAUAUUAUCACAUUACAUCACAUGCAUGAGACAAGGGAUUGAAGAUAUUCUGGAGCAAUUAUGAUUGAUUUGAAGGCCAAUUGAUGACCGACCAAAUUGAGACACCGAAGCCCCUAUAAAUACCAAGCUUAUGGAAGAGAGAAAGGACCCCCGACACAACACACAACUUGUCAUUUUACAUUCUCUUCAAUUUCUAUCCUAGGAGUAGCGUAAUGUAGCCAUAGCCUAGUUCUUAUUUUUUCCGCUCUAGUUUCCGUAGAUUUCAAUUAUGCAUUUACAUUCUUGUUCUUGUUUUUCAAUUCUAUUUUAAUUACAGUUCUUUUAAUUCAUGUCUUCACUUAAUCUUUACUGUUCUUCGUAAUCUAGUUUACUUUUCGCACUUUACUUUAAGCACUUGAAUUUCAAUUAUUUAAUUUAUGCAAUUUACAUUACACACUCGUCUUUGCAUUCU